GGGUCAGUAGGCUGGUCGUGCCACCGGUACGUACUGGUCUCACUGAUUCCUCCUUCCUGAAGAACCGUAAUGCCAUUAAUUUGGUGUUGCGGGGAAACAGGACUGUUACUUUGAAAAAAUUAUAGUGUUUAAAGCAAGCUAACGCUUGAAUACAUUAGCAUGGAAUAAUGAAUUAGGACGAUCGAUCCUAUUUUGUUUGUUUCUAGGAUUGACGUA
rnacentral:rRNA from 1 species